rnacentral:rRNA from 1 species
UGGGGAAUAUUGGACAAUGGGCGAAAGCCUGAUCCAGCAAUGCCGCGUGCAGGAUGAAGGCCUUCGGGUUGUAAACUGCUUUUGUACGGAGCGAAAAGGUCUGCCCUAAUACGGUGGGCUCAUGACGGUACCGUAAGAAUAAGCACCGGCUAACUACGUGCCAGCAGCCGCGGUAAUACGUAGGGUGCGAGCGUUAAUCGGAAUUACUGGGCGUAAAGCGUGCGCAGGCGGUUAUGCAAGACAGAGGUGAAAUCCCCGGGCUCAACCUGGGAACUGCCUUUGUGACUGCAUAGCUAGAGUACGGUAGAGGGGGAUGGAAUUCCGCGUGUAGCAGUGAAAUGCGCAGAUAUGCGGAGGAACACCGAUGGCGAAGGCAAUCCCCUGGACCUGUACUGACGCUCAUGCACGAAAGCGUGGGGAGCAAACA